UUUUCAAAAUUAUUAUCAACUUAAUAAUUUAAAUAAACCCAAACAUUCUGAUAUCUUCGGAUGCAAGGGUUCGAAUCCCUUAUCUCUCAAUUCUGAUAUCUUCGGAUGCAAGGGUUCGAAUCCCUUAUCUCUCA